rnacentral:rRNA from 1 species
GACGAACGCUGGCGGCGUGCUUAACACAUGCAAGUCGAACGGUAAGGCCCUUCGGGGUACACGAGUGGCGAACGGGUGAGUAACACAUGGGUGAUCUGCCCUGCACUUCGGGAUAAGCCUGGGAAACUGGGUCUAAUACCGGAUAGGACCACUGCCUGCAUGGGUGGUGGUGGAAAGCUGUUGCGGUGUGGGAUGGGCCCGCGGCCUAUCAGCUUGUUGGUGGGGUGAUGACCUACCAAGGCGACGACGGGUAGCCGGCCUGAGAGGGUGACCGGCCACACUGGGACUGAGAUACGGCCCAGACUCCUACGGGAGGCAGCAGUGGGGAAUAUUGCACAAUGGGCGCAAGCCUGAUGCAGCGACGCCGCGUGAGGGAUGACGGCCUUCGGGUUGUAAACCUCUUUCAGCACCGACGAAGCGCAAGUGACGGUAGGUGCAGAAGAAGGACCGGCCAACUACGUGCCAGCCGCCGCCGUAA